rnacentral:rRNA from 1 species
AGAACGAACGCUGGCGGCAUGCCUAAUACAUGCAAGUCGAACGAACUCUUCGGAGUUAGUGGCGCACGGGUGCGUAACGCGUGGGAAUCUGCCCCUUGGUUCGGAAUAACAGUUGGAAACGACUGCUAAUACCGGAUGAUGACGAAAGUCCAAAGAUUUAUCGCCAAGGGAUGAGCCCGCGUAGGAUUAGCUAGUUGGUGAGGUAAAGGCUCGACCAAGGCAACGAUCCUUAG